rnacentral:tRNA from 4 species
GGGGAUGUAGCUCAGCUGGGAGAGCGUCGCGUUCGCAAUGCGAAGGUCAGGGGUUCGAUCCCCCUCAUCUCCACCA